AAAAAAUAAGCGGUCGUCAGGCGCCGGGCGAGGGAAGCAGGGAAACAAGGAGCGAGCGAGCCUGCGCCGCUAAGACGGGCGCCGACCGGCGAGCGAUGCAGUCCCCUUCACCUUUUCUUCAUUCUUCCGCAUCGUAAGAGGAUUAGGAAUUUAGGAUCGGGGCCGACAGAGCCCGACGACCAGCAUGGACCACUCGCCCGAUGAUCUGUCGUUGAUGGCGCUCGGCGAGGACGGGGAUCACGGCGCCGCCCUGCCCCUCAUUGCGGACUAGGCAAAGCAUGACGACGAUGGCAUCAUCCGAAAAUGAGCAUGUUGAUGGCGUCAGCGCACAUGGUCACGGAGGUGAAGGCGACCACGUCAGCCAUGGCAGAUGAGGAGCAUCCGGAGAGAAGAGAGGAGGCCUCAGAAGUGAGCUGUGUAUUCUCCAUCGUUGCGCUGAUAGUGUUUCUGAUAAUUAUAGUGUUGUUCGCCUGUUCGGUUGCUUGCCUUGAUUCAUAGCGGUUCCAGCUAGGGUUGAGCUUGCGAGUUGUGGGUUACAUUUAAGGUUCUAUUCCACUACAUGUUCAUGUAUCUAUAUUUUUUCUUCUCCUACGACUUGCCCCCUUUUGAUCCGACAAGAAGAAGAAAAUUAAGGAGGUCGUCAUCCAAAAACCUUCUGAUGGAAUGGACAACUUUGCAGAGAAGACAGAAAAAACACUGGCAGUCACAGAAUCCGGUGUACUUAACUUCACUAGAAUGAGGAAGAUAAACAGGCACAACAGAUACACUCAUUGGGAGCUAGACUAGACAAGUUUAAGAAUCAGAAAAUGAAUCGAGGCUUUACAUUUAGUCAUUGUGCAAGUUUAAAAAUCAACCAGUGAAUUAAGGCUUUACAUUUGUUCAUCCUACAAAAAUUUCAGGUGGAUUUUAAUUCAACUUGAGUACUUUUGCAAUAUCUGGCUCUCCCUGCUUUUCAGAUGAUCAAGUUGUACAGGAACUAGGGGAAGGCAUUAUGCUUUGAAGUGUCCCAACAUACCCUUGGGAGGGAACUGGCCGAGAUUAUAACUAUGAACAGGGUGUUCAACAUUAUUCGCGACAACAACCAGGUCUUGCUGGGAUAGGUGUAGGACCAUUAUGAGGCCACCACAUGUUCUUAGGAAGGGAACAAGGAAGAUAAUUUUUUGUUACUUUUAUAAAUUUGUGUAAAAUGUAAGUUUCAACAUAAUUGUGACAACAUAUUUUUAAUUGGUAGUCCCUCACCUUUUU